rnacentral:lncRNA from 1 species
UUAUUACACUCUUCGCAUUUGACAGCGUGACCCUCAGUGGUGACACAGGAAACGAAGCUCCUCUGCUCUUGUGCGAGUUAGAAAAGAAGCUGAGUUCCUGCUUCUGUAUCCUGCACGCCGUGCCCUUCCCUCAUGCCACCGCUUCUCAUACCUUCGUCCUCGAGCAGCACGACCCACUUCCAGUACUGAUCAGAAGUCCUGGCUUGAGUGGAAGCUGUAUUUAUCUCAGUUCUGGCAGGGAGAGUACUCCAGAGCCCUGGAGAAGGGUGCUUCUGUCUACAGGCCUGGCUGGGCCAUGUCAGCAUUUCUGGGAUGGAUCAAGGACUUCUAGGAAGGUUGAGUUAGAACCACGAGUUCUGUUUCCAGACCAUGAGGAGCCUGUGGGACACAGCAUCAUGCAGCUGAAGGUAAUUGAUUCUGAAUACAUUUGAAAUUUCUUCAGAGGCCU